AACUUUGCGCAGUGGCAGUAUCAUAGCCCAUGAGGUUAAACUGAGGCGUGAUUAUUGCUAGUUGAAAACUUUUCCCAAUACAUAUAAUUCUAUUUUAAAACAUUUUUUCUGGUUUCUUUGCUACAAA
rnacentral:snRNA from 1 species